rnacentral:rRNA from 1 species
UUUUUAGCGGCGGACGGGUGAGUAACGUGUGGGCAACCUACCUUUUACUGUGGAAUAAUCGUUGGAAACGACGACUAAUACCGCAUACGGGUUCUUGGAAGGCAUCUUCUAAGAAAGAAAGGAUUUAUUCGGUAAAAGAUGGGCCCGCAUCUGAUUAGCUAGUUGGUGAGAUAAUAGCCCACCAAGGCAACGAUCAGUAGCCGACCUGAGAGGGUGACCGGCCACAUUGGGACUGAGACACGGCCCAAACUCCUACGGAAGGCAGCAG